rnacentral:rRNA from 1 species
CAUGAAGCUGGAAUCGCUAGUAAUCGCGGAUCAGAAUGCCGCGGUGAAUACGUUCCCGGGUCUUGUACACACCGCCCGUCACACCAUGGGAGCCGGAAAUGCCCGAAGUCAGUGACCCAACCGCAAGGAGGGAGCUGCCGAAGGUGGAGCUGGUAACUGGGGUGAAGUCGUAACAAGGUAGC